rnacentral:rRNA from 1 species
UACGGGAGGCAGCAGUGGGGAAUAUUGCACAAUGGGCGCAAGCCUGAUGCAGCCAUGCCGCGUGUAUGAAGAAGGCCUUCGGGUUGUAAAGUACUUUCAGUCGUGAGGAAGGUGUUAAGGUUAAUAACCUUAGCAAUUGACGUUAGCGACAGAAGAAGCACCGGCUAACUCCGUGCCAGCAGCCGCGGUAAUACGGAGGGUGCGAGCGUUAAUCGGAAUUACUGGGCGUAAAGGGCACGCAGGCGGUUAAUUAAGUUGGAUGUGAAAUCCCCGGGCUUAACCUGGGAAUGGCAUUCAAGACUGGUUAGCUAGAGUCUUGUAGAGGGGGUAGAAUUCCAUGUGUAGCGGUGAAAUGCGUAGAGAUGUGGAGGAAUACCGGUGGCGAAGGCGGCCCCUGGACAAAGACUGACGCUCAUGUGCGAAAGCAUGGGGAGCAAACAGGGAUUAGGAUACC